GGUUAAAAAGCUCGUAGUUGGAUUUCUUCCAGGGGCAGUCGGUCCACACUACGUGUGCGUAUCUGAUUUGACUUUGGAAUCCUCUUGGGGAACAUCUCUGCGCUUAACUGCGUGGAAUGGUAUUCAAGACUUUUACUUUGAGGAAAUUAGAGUGUUCACGGCAGGCAAUCGCCCUGAAUACAUUAGCAUGGAAUAAUAAUAUAGGAUUUCGGUACUAUUUUGUUGGUUUCUAGAGCUGAGAUAAUGAUUAAUAGGGACACUUGGGGGCAUUCGUAUUAUCACGUCAGAGGUGGAAUUCUUGGAUUGUGUUACGACGAACUACUGCGAAAGCAUUUGCCAAGGAUGUUUUCAUUGAUCAAGAACGAAAGUAAGGGGAUCGAAGACGCUUAGAUACCGUCGUAGUCUUUACCAUAAACUAUGCCAACUAGGGAUUGGAGGGCGUUCUUCAUUCGACUCCUUCAGCACCUUAUGAGAAAUCAAAGUUUUUGGGGUUCCGGGGGGAGUAUGGUCGCAAGGCUGGAACUUAAAGGAAUUGAC
rnacentral:rRNA from 1 species